CCCGAUUAUUCAGGUUUUAAAAAGAGUAUUUUUAAUAGUGCAUCCUCUUCAAAGGAGGAAGAAAGAAUUCCUCUCCUUGUAUCUCCAAAGGGCUGGAGGGCCAAUAGACAUGGGGAAAAUGAAGUUGUGAAGCUCCCAACUCUCCGAAGUCAAGGAUCUCUGGCUGUCUUCCUUGAGAAAUGCUGAAGUCACCUGAGGGAAGAGAGAGAAGGCUAGAGAACAGUUACAAAAGAAACAUAAAGAAACGACAUCACUUCACAGAAGAGGACAUUAAGAAACCUUGAACCACCUCCGCAUCACCUGGUCGUUUUGUAAGAUUACAUCUCUCACAGCAGAAAUGACAAAAUCAAUGAGAGUAUAU
rnacentral:lncRNA from 1 species